CAACUCUGGGCCGGACUGAAGACAGAGACUCUGAACCAUCAGGAGGGUGUUAUUGGCUGUAGUUCUUCAGACCUGAGGGCAAGGGAGGUGGUCCCGGAGCAGAGAAACCUCAGGGCAGGUGGCUUUCUGGCUCACCUGAAAGCCUUCUAAGCCACUUCUCAGACAUUACCAAGUGGUCAUCACCAAGGAAACUUGGUAAAAAAGCAAUUGACCCUUACAAGCUGUAUCUUUGAGUGUAGAAAUGAGAGCACUUACAAAAGUGUUGUAAACUAGUUAGAAUCUGAGUGGGGCCUGGAGCGGUGAGUUUUGUUUUUUAAAACCUCCUAAUUAUUCAACACAGCCACUGCUCUGGGGGUGAAACUUGGUUCGGUAGAAAAGAGUUGAUGUCCAGAAAUCUGAAUUUUUAACAAGCACCCAAGGACUUCACUGCAGAUAUCACAGGGUUGGCAGAGUCCAGGAAUACCUUGAAUGACUGCAUCAAGCGCAAAGGAUUGGCCCAACUAGAUCAAGAUGAAAUGUGAUGGAAAUAAAGGUUUCCUGGAGGCAGUGACUCCUACAUCUUGAAGAUGAGCAAAGAAGUUACCAAAGAAGUGGAUGGAGGAAAAUAUUGUUACCAAAGAAGUCAAUGGUGGAUGGAGGGGCACCUUUGGAGAUAUGUGAGCAGAUCCUGGCAAGAGGGAGAUAUGUUACAAAUAUGUGCUUUGGUUGAAAUUAAUCAAGUAUGGAAAAAUUGAUACGAAAGGAGAAAAUGGAAGAAAAAGAAACCCAGUGAGGCUUUCAUACGCUUUGCAUCCCGAGGACUAGAAGAUUUCCUGGCAUAUUAGUUAAUGACUCUAAUUGGAGAGAUUGAUGAUGAAACACAUCAGUACAGGGUACUUCUCCUUCGUCUAAUUAAACUUCCUGAAUCCUGGAAUUUAAAUUAUACGUGGAGGUGCUCUGUCAAAAGAGACGCUCCUGCUUCUCCAGUAAUUGAAAGCAGCUGGACAUUUACCCGAUCCACAACAUCUGGGAAAUUUUCAUCUUUUUUUUUUUUUCCAAGAAUGUAUACACAUAAAAGCAAGUUUCCCAAAUAGAUUCCAAAUUUGUCCUCGUUCAAGCAUUUUUGUUGAUUUUAAUUUGUCAUUAAAGUUAUGUCAUAGAUGAAGGGGGACCUAAUUUAAGUUUGUACUUCAAUGCUUGUGUGUUUACCUGAGCCCUAGGUUUAUUCAGCCCUCAGGUCUAUGCUAAGGGCAUGACAUUUCAGGGUUAUUUCACAUGGGUUUAAGAUUCUUUUGUGGAAUGUGGCCUCUGAGUGAUAGCCCCGGGAGCUAGGUCAGAUAAGGAUGGAACUCGGGUAAACUCUGCCUCAGAAGUUGAGACUUCCUGGGGCUGUGUUAGCCUUCUGAAGCUGAUGAAAUGCUUCCCAAGAUGCUGGCAAGGUUUUGCCAAGGUGGAUCCCAGGCUCUGAUUUCACUUUUCUCUUUAUCUGGAAGAACCCUUCUUUCGAAGUGAGAUGGAAGUUAGUGUAAGACACAGGGGAUCUUAAAAUAUACAGCUCUUCUUUCUGGUGAAAAUCAUGUUCUCUGGAAGAAAAAGAAAAGUAGCCAGUUCUCCUUGAAACGCAGAAUUGCACAGUGCUUUUCUUGCAGACAAGACACGUAACCUUGGAAUGCAUCCGGCUUAAUGCAUACUGCCAGAUUCAUUACCCGGAAUAUUAAAAAGAAU